ACGGGAGGCAGCAGUGGGGAAUAUUGGGCAAUGGGCGAAAGCCUGACCCAGCAACGCCGCGUGAAGGAAGAAGGUCUUCGGAUUGUAAACUUCUUUUAUGAGGGACGAAGGAAUUGACGGUACCUCAUGAAUAAGCCACGGCUAACUACGUGCCAGCAGCCGCGGUAAUACGUAGGUGGCAAGCGUUAUCCGGAUUUACUGGGUGUAAAGGGCGCGUAGGCGGGGAGGCAAGUCAUAUGUGAAAUCCAUGGGCUCAACUCAUGAACUGCAUUUGAAACUGUUUUUCUUGAGUGUCGGAGAGGUAGAUGGAAUUCCUAGUGUAGCGGUGAAAUGCGUAGAUAUUAGGAAGAACACCAGUGGCGAAGGCGAUCUACUGGACGAUAACUGACGCUGAGGCGCGAAAGCGUGGGGAGCAAGCAGGAUUAGAUACCCUGGUA
rnacentral:rRNA from 1 species